rnacentral:rRNA from 1 species
AAUAUUGCACAAUGGGGGAAACCCUGAUGCAGCAACGCCGCGUGAGUGAUGAAGGCUCUAGGGUCGUAAAGCUCUGUCGUGUGGGAAGAAAAAAAUGACGGUACCACACAAGAAAGGACCGGCCAACUUCGUGCCAGCAGCCGCGGUAAUACGGGGGGUCCAAGCGUUGUUCGGAAUCACUGGGCGUAAAGCGCAUGUAGGUGGCUAUUCAAGUCAACUGUGAAAGCCCCGGGCCUAACCCGGGAAGUGCAGUUGAAACUGGAUAGCUUGAGUACGAGAGAGGAUAGUGGAAUUUCUGGUGUAGUGGUGAAAUACGUAGAUAUCAGAAGGAACAUCGGUGGCGAAGGCGGCUAUCUGGCUCGAUACUGACACUGAGAUGCGAAAGCGUGGGGAUCAAACAGG